AGGAAGACCAGAGAAGAGAGCCCAGAGACCCACAUGUGGACUCUACCCACCAUGGGAUGGAGGUCUUCCUUGGACCCUGGCACCACCUGAAUUUUCCUUGCCACUGCCCCACCUGAUGAGGGAGCACCACGCAUACCAGCAGAAGGACGCAAGGAGAAGUCACAGGGCACCUCCUAGUUCGAGUCCCUAAAGGCCACUUGGAAGAAUCAGAAAUGUUUUAAAAGGCUGCCCUAGCGUAUAAGAUGGAGAAGUCUGUACGUUAGAUGAUGCUUCAGUGUAUCCUGGCUCUGACUUUCCCUGGUUGUAUUCCACUCAGAAACACUGGUGAAUAUCAAUACCAGAAUCUUGAAAGAAUAAAGGUAAUUACUUCUCAGGCUUAAGUGUGACUGUCUGAAGUCACCGUAGUCUUUAAUCAUUUCACUUGUGGUCUGAGAACCAAAACUGACAUUUCUCCCUCUCUCCCUCCCUCCCUCCUUCCCUCCCUAUCAUCUUUCUCAUAUGUGGUGUAUAUGUGUGCAAAUGUAAGUGUGUGCUUAUUUACUUGAGAGUUCAUGUGUGCACACAGAAGGGUUCAAUGUCAGGUGCUUUCCUCAGUCUCCCUGCACCUUUUUAUUUGAGACAAGGUCUCUUACUGAGCCUGAAGCUUGUGGAUUUGGCUAGACUAGCCGUCCAAUGAAGUUCAAGUAUCUAGGUAUCUUCACCUCCAUUCCAACCUUCCGAUUCCAACCCCCAGCCCCACCAAGCACCAGGCUACAGAUACAGAUGCAAGCUACCAUGCCUGGUUUUAGACCUGGUACAAGAGACGCCAAUUCCAAUCCAACUUGUGCGACAGACAGCUUUACCAACUAUUGGGUUAUUUGAUUAGAGUCUUUAACUCAUCUUCUCAAUCAAUACAAUUGUCUCUCAAAAUGAAAAUGGUGAUUUUUUUUUGAAAGAAUAGGAUGGAAUUCUUGUCACUGCAGCACUGAUGCCCAGUUAGCUGGGGCACUGCCUUCCAUUAUGGAUAGGAAAUGAAGGCAAGCCAUCCAUCAAAACCGCGUGCCGGUAUCUAUGUGUGAUGGCUCAAUCAACAGACAAGCCCUACACCACCGAGCAAAAGCUCUCAGGGAAGCUGUACCACUCUCUGAAGCCAUCCGAAGAGCAUUGAGAAACAUAAACAAUUCUGAUGACCCAUCAGCACAGCACAGCAAUGGGGGGGGGGGCUGCUGUGAGGAGGGAGGAGUGGAGUGGUUCUACCUUGGCUGAGUGUUAAGCCUUUAACAUUUCAAACAAAGAGAAAGGCAUGGGCGCUGUUUAACUUUACCAUCCAAUCUCUGGAAGUCAUUACCCGGCCUUCUUCUCAACCUCUGCCUUCUUGAUGCUUUGAACUUAUACCUCCGUUGUGGGGGACCACCUUUGCCAUAUAAGAUGGGAGACAGCACGUGCCUCUUUCCACCCAAAACAUCUCCGCACGGCGCCAAGUGUCCUCUGGCUUCAGAAUUGCUCCCGCUGAGAAACACCCGAGCCACAAGAAAAUUAAGGAGACUCCUCGAGGUGUUUUUUGUUGUGUUUUAUAAAAAAGAUAAAGAGAGAAGGAAUAUGUUUGGUGGACGUGUAGGGGGAGGGGUGUGCCUACGUGGCGAGAGAGAGAGAGAGAGAGAGAGAGAGAGAGAGAGAGAGAGAGAGAGAGAGAGAGGGAGGGAGGGAG
rnacentral:sRNA from 1 species